rnacentral:rRNA from 1 species
CAUUAGCUGGAUUUUCUGCGAAAUCUGUUUAUAGCAAAUUAUUUAUUUUAUUAUUAGUAGGUAUAGCACUGAAUAUUUUUUUUUCCAUAAAAGGAAUAAUAAUUUACCUAACCAAAAAAAUUAAACCCCAAAAGGCCAAAAAGUUAAGGAAAAAAACCGAACUUUUGGCAAAAGGGAAAAAGGCCAAAGGGAAACCGCCCCGAACCGGAAAAAAAAAAGGAAGGGCCCCCAAUUAAUAAUGAGGGGGAAAUACCCAAGGAAUUUUUUUUUGGAAAACCAUAAAGGGGCCUGGAAAACGCCCCCAACGGGGGGGGGGGAAGCAACAGCCCGGGGGGGGGGGGGGAGAAAA